GCUGGCGUAACUCAGUGGUAGAGUAGCUGAUUUGUAAUCAGCCAGUCGGGGGUUCGAGUCCCUCCGCCAGCUCCA
rnacentral:tRNA from 3 species